rnacentral:tRNA from 1 species
AUUAAUAUGGCAGAUUAGUGCAAAGAAUUUAAGCUUCUUAUAUACUUUAUAAGUUAUUAAUA